rnacentral:rRNA from 1 species
UACGUAGGUGACAAGCGUUGUCCGGAUUUACUGGGCGUAAAGAGCGCGCAGGCGGUCGUUCAAGUCGAGUGUGAAAGCCCCCGGCUCAACUGGGGAGGGUCACUCGAUACUGAUCGACUCGAAGGCAGGAGAGGGUAGUGGAAUUCCCGGUGUAGUGGUGAAAUGCGUAGAUAUCGAGAGGAACACCAGUGGCGAAGGCGGGUCUCUGGACAGUUCCUGACACUGAGACACGAAGGCCAGGGGAGCAAACGGG